UACAGAGGGGGCAAGCGUUGUUCGGAAUUACUGGGCGUAAAGGGCGCGUAGGCGGCCUUCUAAGUCGAACGUGAAAUCCCCGGGCUCAACCCGGGAACUGCGUCCGAUACUGGAAGGCUUGAAUCCGGGAGAGGGAUGCGGAAUUCCUGGUGUAGCGGUGAAAUGCGUAGAUAUCAGGAGGAACACCUGCGGUGUAGACGGCUUUCUGGACCAUUACUGACACUGAGACACGAAAGCGUGGGUAGCAAACAGG
rnacentral:rRNA from 1 species